UAAUUUUAUACUGUUAAUCAUAUACAAGAAAAAUAAGGUGUUACUGAUUUCCAUAAAUAUUUUUUCAGCUAUAUCAUUCUAAUUUAUACUAAAUAUCAAAGAAAAUUUUUGAAAAAGAUCCCCUGAAGGAUUCAGAAAGAUAAGAGAUAUUCAAAAUACCGGUGGAGGACAUAAAAGACACAACAACCAGCAUCUUAUAUAAAGGUAACCAUUCGAACCUUGUCCUAGAGGAUAAAGGAGUACAAAAAAGACAUAGCCAAGGGGGAAGAUGACUAUGGUUCUAUCAAUAGAAACAUAUACUGAUGACUUACACAUAAAAUGGGACAAUGCAAAAAUCAUAAAACUGAUCAACAAAAGGACAUGGGCCUUAACAACAGAGACAAUAGAGAUAUUAAGGAGGCAGCAGAAUGAGAAAAUAUUAAAUGACAGACCGACUAUGGAGCUACCUCCAGCAUGGACUUAUGCAAUAUAGACAGUAAACAAAAGAGGACAAGCAGUAGUAAUUGAAAGUGAUAAAUAUUAAUGUGAUUAUAACAUUUUAUAACCUAUGUUAAAUGUAUACCUAGU
rnacentral:lncRNA from 1 species